GGACGGGUGAGUAACACGUGGAUAACCUACCUAUAAGACUGGGAUAACUUCGGGAAACCGGAGCUAAUACCGGAUAACAUGUUGAACCGCAGGUUCAACAGUGAAAGACGGUCUUGCUGUCACUUAUAGAUGGAUCCGCGCCGCAUAGCUAGUUGGUAAGGUAACGGCUUACCAAGGCAACGAUGCGUAGCCGACCUGAGAGGGUGAUCGGCCACACUGGAACUGAGACACGGUCCAGACUCCUACGGGAGGCAGCAGUAGGGAAUCUUCCGCAAUGGGCGAAAGCCUGACGGAGCAACGCCGCGUGAGUGAAGAAGGUCUUCGGAUCGUAAAACUCUGUUAUUAGGGAAGAACAAAUGUGUAAGUAACUAUGCACGUCUUGACGGUACCUAAUCAGAAAGCCACGGCUAACUACGUGCCAGCAGCCGCGGUAAUACGUAGGUGGCAAGCGUUAUCCGGAAUUAUUGGGCGUAAAGCGCGCGUAGGCGGUUUUUUAAGUCUGAUGUGAAAGCCCACGGCUCAACCGUGGAGGGUCAUUGGAAACUGGAAAACUUGAGUGCAGAAGAGGAAAGUGGAAUUCCAUGUGUAGCGGUGAAAUGCGCAGAGAUAUGGAGGAACACCAGUGGCGAAGGCGACUUUCUGGUCUGUAACUGACGCUGAUGUGCGAAAGCGUGGGGAUCAAACAGGAUUAGAUACCCUGGUAGUCCACGCCGUAAACGAUGAGUGCUAAGUGUUAAGGGGGUUUCCGCCCCUUAGUGCUGCAGCUAACGCAUUAAGCACUCCGCCUGGGGAGUACGACCGCAAGGUUGAAACUCAAGGAAUUGACGGGGACCCGCACAAGCGGUGGAGCAUGUGGUUUAAUUCGAAGCAACGCGAGAACCUUACCAAAU
rnacentral:rRNA from 1 species